AUUGAACGCUGGCGGCAUGCCUUACACAUGCAAGUCGAACGGCAGCACGGGUGCUUGCACCUGGUGGCGAGUGGCGAACGGGUGAGUAAUACAUCGGAACGUACCUUAUCGUGGGGGAUAACAAAUUGAAAAAUUUGCUAAUACCGCAUACGAUCUAAGGAUGAAAGCGGGGGACCGUAAGGCCUCGCGCGAUUGGAGCGGCCGAUGUCAGAUUAGGUAGUUGGUGAGGUAAAGGCUCACCAAGCCGACGAUCUGUAGCUGGUCUGAGAGGACGACCAGCCACACUGGGACUGAGACACGGCCCAGACUCCUACGGGAGGCAGCAGUGGGGAAUUUUGGGCAAUGGACGCAAGUCUGAUCCAGCCAUUCCGCGUGCAGGACGAAGGCCUUCGGGUUGUAAACUGCUUUUGUACGGAACGAAAAAGCUCUUACUAAUACUAGGAGUCCAUGACGGUACCGUAAGAAUAAGCACCGGCUAACUACGUGCCAGCAGCCGCCGUAA
rnacentral:rRNA from 1 species